GGAGGGGGCGAGCGUUAUUCGGAAUUAUUGGGCGUAAAGGGCAGGUAGGCGGCUUUGUAUGUCUCCUGUGAAAGCCCUCGGCUCAACCGAGGAAUUGCAGGGGAAACUGCGGAGCUUGAGUCCGGGAGAGGCUAGUGGAAUUCCCAGUGUAGCGGUGAAAUGCGUAGAUAUUGGGAGGAACACCGGUGGCGAAGGCGGCUAGCUGGACCGGUACUGACGCUGAGCUGCGAAAGCUAGGGGAGCGAACGGGGAUUAGAUACCCCGGUAGUCCUGGCUGUAAACGCUGAGCACUUGGUGUGGCGGGUAUCGACCCCCUGCCGUGCCGAAGCUAACGCAUUAAGUGCUCCGCCUGGGGAGUACGGUCGCAAGGCUG
rnacentral:rRNA from 1 species